rnacentral:rRNA from 1 species
GGCGGCAGGCUUAACACAUGCAAGUCGAGCGCUCGUAGCAAUACGAGAGCGGCAGACGGGAGAGUAACACGUGGGAACGUACCCUUCGGUUCGGAAUAACCCAGGGAAACUUGGGCUAAUACCGGAUACGUCCGUAAGGAGAAAGAUUUAUCGCCGAGGGAUCGGCCCGCGUCCGAUUAGCUAGUUGGUGGGGUAAUGGCCCACCAAGGCGACGAUCGGUAGCUGGUCUGAGAGGAUGAUCAGCCUCACUGGGACUGAGACACGGCCCAGACUCCUACGGGAGGCAGCAGUGGGGAAUAUUGGACAAUGGGCGCAAGCCUGAUCCAGCCAUGCCGCGUGGGUGAUGAAGGCCUUAGGGUUGUAAAGCCCUUUCGGCGGGGAAGAUAAUGACGGUACCCGCAGAAGAAGCCCCGGCUAACUUCGUGCCAGCAGCCGCGGUAAUACGAAGGGGGCUAGCGUUGCUCGGAAUCACUGGGCGUAAAGCGCACGUAGGCGGAUUGUUAAGUCAGGG